rnacentral:rRNA from 1 species
UACGUAGGGUGCAAGCGUUAAUCGGAAUACUGGGCGUAAAGCGUGCGCAGGCGGUGAUGUAAGACAGAUGUGAAAUCCCCGGGCUCAACCUGGGAACUGCAUUGUGACUGCAUCGCUGGAGUGCGGCAGAGGGGAUGGAAUUCCGCGUGUAGCAGUGAAAUGCGUAGAUAUGCGGAGGAACACCGAUGGCGAAGGCAAUCCCCUGGGCCUGCACUGACGCUCAUGCACGAAGCGUGGGGAGCAAACAGG